rnacentral:rRNA from 1 species
GAGUUUGAUCUUGGCUCAGAUUGAACGCUGGCGGCAGGCCUAACACAUGCAAGUCGAGCGGUAGAGAGAAGCUUGCUUCUCUUGAGAGCGGCGGACGGGUGAGUAAUGCCUAGGAAUCUGCCUGGUAGUGGGGGAUAACGCUCGGAAACGGACGCUAAUACCGCAUACGUCCUACGGGAGAAAGCAGGGGACCUUCGGGCCUUGCGCUAUCAGAUGAGCCUAGGUCGGAUUAGCUAGUUGGUGAGGUAAUGGCUCACCAAGGCGACGAUCCGUAACUGGUCUGAGAGGAUGAUCAGUCACACUGGAACUGAGACACGGUCCAGACUCCUACGGGAGGCAGCAGUGGGGAAUAUUGGACAAUGGGCGAAAGCCUGAUCCAGCCAUGCCGCGUGUGUGAAGAAGGUCUUCGGAUUGUAAAGCACUUUAAGUUGGGAGGAAGGGCAGUAAAUUAAUACUUUGCUGUUUUGACGUUACCGACAGAAUAAGCACCGGCUAACUCUGUGCCAGCCGCCG